rnacentral:tRNA from 1 species
GCUUUCGUGGUGUAGUGGUCAGCACGCUCGGCGCAUUUUUAAGAGGUCAGAGGUUCGAGUCCCGUCGAGGGCA